UUGACCCCUAGCCUGGGAACCUCCAUAUGCUGUAGGUACGGCCCUAAAAAGACAACAAAACAAAACAAAACAAAAACAAGAAAGAGCUCUUGCAGGUCAGGUGGGGCCCUGUGAGGGGCAACAUUUUCCUAGCAGCGCUGUGGCUGAUGCUAUCUGGGGGAUCCCCAGAGACGGGGUGGGGAAGCUCGUCACUUCUGGCUAAGCCCUGUUGGAAGAGGGGAUCUGGGGCAGUGAGGAAAGAGAGGAAGGGGGAUUCUGGCUCUACUGACCCCCUGAGGCCAGGUGUCAGCAGCGAGGAUAGCCUAGCCCCUUGCUGGGGAGUAGGGACACUUAGGCCACAGUGAAUAAGGAGGCUGGUAUCCCAGGUUGCUGACCUGCCUCUGAUGCCCAUGUGCUGUGUGGCCCUGGGUGCCUGGCACAUCUUCUCUGUACCCUGAUUUCCUUUGCUGUGAUUGUCCUAGGGAGGCCUUGCUUCCUUGUCUGCUGGAUUUCCCGGCCCCUGCAGACCCCCUGGCCCGGCCCCCUUGCCUGCAUGGAGGCUGAGGCCAGGGCUCAGGGCCAGGGCCGCGCACCUUGACAACCCGCCCACGCCUGGGCACAAAGGCCUAUUGUUCGGGCCCACGUUGGCGGGGAAGCGGGCGGGGAGCAGCCGCCUUUCACCCAACCGGCUUGUGGUCGGCGGGGACUGAGGAGCAAUUCACAGAGGUCCCCGCCCCCUGACCGGGCACCUGGCCAGACUGCCUCCUGGGCAGGCACCCUCGCCAAGCUGGGUCAGCUCCUACCCUGAGCUGGGCCUCAGUUUCCCCUGAGAUCCAUGGGGCUGGGGCCCUCCUUGGGCACAGAGAAGCCACCUGGCUGUGCUUGAGGAGGCUGUGGACACCAGGGCUUUGGGGCCGGACAGGUCUGGAUUCUAGUUUUGGGGGGGUUUGGGGUGCAUCUGUUCACUUGCCUGAGCUUCAGUGUGUCUGACUGUAAAUGGAGGCUUGAAUCCAUGACUCUAGAGGUGAAAGGAGAGAAGUGAUGGCACAAGGCAGCAUUCACCUGGCGGUUCAUGUGUUCAGAAAUCCAUACCGAGUGUCAGCUGUGUACAGGACUGGUUAUAGAACUUGGGGGUCCUGUGCAAUAUUAAGUGCAGUGCCCCUCAUUCAAAAUUAAGAAUACAAGAUGGCGCCAGCAUGGGAACUUCUGAGUGUGGUGCCCAGGGGAGCAUUUCCGUGAAGCCCACCCUGACUGUGUGCCAGGCACUACUCCAGGCCUGGGACAGAGCUAAUGAAACAGAGGAAGGCCUCUGCCCUCGUAGAAUCGACAAUCUGUCAGGGGCCCUAGGACUCCCUCGGGGUUGACUGGUAGGUCUUUCUGAAGCCAGGUGCCCCUGGAGGCCUGCUCCUUCUGGGCCUGCUCAUCAGACAUGAAAGGUUAACUGGGGAAGGUGGCUCAAGCUUCCCUGGGAACGCACAGUAGUAACAGCCGGCGUUUACUGAGCGCAGACUCUGCUGGGGCUGGUCGGGAUGCUCACUGGAAGCAUUCAGAGUGUCUCUGUGACAGCCCCUUGAGGCAGGAGGGCAGUAUGGCUAUCUCCUGUGCAGAUGGAGAGACUGAGGCUCAAGCCAGUGAAGGGCAGAGGCAGGGUUUAAAUCCAGGCUGUCUGGCGCCAGAGCCUUAAUCCCCCAUCCCACUCUCUGCCAACAGGGGCAGUGGUGAGCCAGAUGGUGCAUGCCUGGGAGCGAGGCCCUGCUGGGGUUCGAGGCUGAGAAGGGCGCGGGUGUGCUGGUGGCCUGCCAGCUGCCACCUGGGUUGGCCCUGAGUCACAGCCUUGUGUCCUGGGAAGCUGUCUGUGCCCCGGGCACCCGUGGGGGCUGAGUCACAGUAGAGCACACCCUGCCACCCUGCCCACCUCCUGCCUGGGCCUCGGGACAGGCAGGCCCUUGGAGUAGGUCCCUAGUCAGGGACUCACAUUUCUACCCACUGUCAGGGGCAAAAGAGGGGCAUCUAUUAGCAGUCCCAGAAGCAUGUGUCUGCCUUCUUUCAUUGAGCCCAAACCCAUCCUUCUACCCAUCCAGCUACCCCAUCCAGCUACCCCAGGGUGGACUAGCUGGCUGGUGAGUUACUGAGCUCCCCAGUACUGGGAGCAUUCAAGGUAGAAUAGUCUGCCAGGGGUGCCAAGGAAUGUUCCUGCAUCAGGUGGGACCUGGUGCUGGAGUAGUUGUCUUCCAAAGCCCUAAACUUUAUUCGUGCGCUUAUUUUUAAACAGCUACCAUGAGCAAAAGGUACAAAAUCCAAGAAGUACAAAAGAGCAUAGACUGAAAAGUAAGUCUCCACCCUUCCUGACCCCCAGUCUCCAACUUUCUCUCCUAAGAAGUAGCCUCUGUUUACCAAUUUCUUUUCUCCUAAGCUAAUUUAUGUAAUAUAAGCAAAUAUAUAAAUUGCCCUUUCCUGUCUCCCUCCUACCCACACAAAUGGUAGUCAAUGUAUUUCAUAUGCCAUCCUGCCCCUCAUUUUAUUUUUGUUUGACUUAACAGCUUACUAUGGGCACUGUUCCAGAUCAGCACACACAGAUCUGUUCCCUUCUUCUUACCUUAUCCUUUUUUUUUUUAAUCUAUAAUACAUUUGAUUAAAGGGCUUUUCAAUCUUGAAUUUAACUUUUUGGACUUUUUACUGUCCUUUGCUUUUGUGGUGGCCUGAGAAAAAUUUUCCAAGUUUGCCUGGAAACUAUAAGCUUUUCCUGUAUCCGUGGGGGUUUUUGAGUCUGCUUUUGGUCAAAAUUGUAAAAGAAAUGAAAGAAGGAAAGAGAGGGAGUGAGAGGGAGAGAAAGAGUGAGUGAGUAAGGGAGAGAAGGAACACCUUCCACCCACGUGCCUCAUACCAGGUACUGGUGAUCUAAUGGUGAACCCCAUAGUACUAGCUCAUCUAGUAGUGUGGCCAGGCUAUGGGAGGAGGCACCCAUGUGUGGUGUCAGGGAGCCCAGAGGAGAGGACUUCGUAUGUGUGUGUGAGUGUGUGUUUGUGUGUGUGUGUAUAAGGGGUCAGGGAUGCCUUCUCAAAGGAGGGACUAUUUAGGUGGGGUCUUAAGGGAUGCAUAGGAGUUCGUAUGAGACCAUGGAGAUGGGCUGAUUAGGUAGAGGGAACAGCACAAAGAGUGAAACUACUUGGUAGAUGUAGAAAUGACUACCAGCUUGCAUUUAUUAAUUACCUACUAUGUGCCAGGUACCAUCACGAUCUCUGCUUUAUAAGUCAUUGCUUCAUUUAAAUUUCCUACACUUCUAGGCUAUUAUCACCCCUAUUUUAUAGGUGGAAACCAACAUACAGAGCAUAGUCACUUGCGACAGGUAUUACAUCUAGAUUUGAACACAGGCAGCCUGCACUCUUGGCUGUUCUAAUAUUCCAAAGUGUAAGGGGGAGAGCUGGUGAGGUGCUGAAUUUUCAUCCUCAACCUUCUGAACUUCCCAGCUCAGGUCCUGUCCAUGCUCAGAGGCCUUCGAGGUUUCCCAUGGCCCCAGAGCCACCCUUUGUUCCUCUGGCCAGUGUGGGCGCCUUGGGCAGCACCAGACCUUUCUGGUUUGACCUUGUGUGCUGGGUGCUGCAGGCACUGCCUGUCAGAAAGAAGCCCAAAUGCUAAUUAUGGAGCCAGGGAGUAACUGGGGGGCAGGUACCUUGGCCUGUCCCCAUUGGUGGAUUUGAGAUGUGGCUGGAAAUGGGCUUUGAGGUUUUGGUUUCCCCAGGCCUCAGGGCUCUGUUUCAGGAGUCGCACCUUGGCCCAGCUCCCUGCAGAGUUCCCAGGAGGUAAGAAUAUUAGCAGACCCUGGCCCCAGAGAAAUAGGUGGGCCCUAGGUCUGGGGCUUUUUAAAUUCCACUGACCCUACGAUGUGGGGAUUCGUCACCCCAUUUUGCAGAUGAGAAAAUGGAGGUUCACAAAGGGCAAAGAGUUGUCCAAGGCCACACAGCAAAUAAAGGCAGAGCCAGGACAUGACUGCAGCCCCAAGUUUUGACUCAACCAUCCACACACUCCUGCCCCCAUUCAAGAGGAUUCUCCAGUCUGCCCCUUGGCAGGGGCUUGAUCUCUGUCUUACCUGGUCUUCAGGAAAGGGACAAUGAUCCCAUUGCCCUGGGGAGCUUGAAUGCUGUGCUCAUGGCCUCAGGAUCAAGGGGGACCUAUGGAUGGCCUGGGUGCUCCCCCACCCCCAGAAUCAAGACACAGGUCCCACGUUUCCUCUUGCUUCUCUCAGAAGCGAGAGAAUAAUAGUUGGUUCAAAUGUCAGGCCAGCUCUGCUGCCUGUGGGGAGACUGGUUGAGCAGGUCUGGGGGAGGGGGGGAUGGAGGGAGGAAAUUAUUAAUAAUUGCGAAGCAACUAGCCCUGCUGCAGGCCUUGAGAUGUGUCUUUGUGUGUCUUUGCAGGUGUGGGGUUGGGAAUGCUAAUCCUAGGGACCCCAUCCUGGAGCGGGGGCUCAGCCUAGGGAUCCGCUGCAGCCUCCAGGGGCCUGUAGUGGGGUGGGGGUGAGGGGAUGGGAGGCACAGAGUUAGCCUCUCCGUACACCUUGGCCUCCCUGCCUCCCAUCAACCCAGGUUAGGAGGGAUCUGCCAACAUCAAGAGGAGAAGGGAAAGGGCCUACUCUUGUCUUUGGGAGGCAUCUCACUACGUGCUGUAUUUAAUUCAGAUGCUGUUUUUUUUUUUUUUUUUUUUAUCUGUAGUCGACAGUUGGGGAAACUGAGGCACAGGGGUUUUAAGUGGGACUUGAACUCAGGGUGCUGACCGCAGCUUGACUGCUCUUGCUGUCCUCUCUGCUGGGGGUGGAGGGAUCCCCCUCCCUGGAAAAGGCCCUUACCCACUCCCUCAACAUCAGCACAAUCCCCGAUGCCACACCCUAGAGGAUGGGAGUUGGUCUGAAGCUUCUCAGGACCUCAGUCUUCUCAUCUACAGAAUGGGCAGCAGAGUAACUUCCUCCAGGGUCAGGGCAGCCGACAAGGGGAGGAGGACAGGAAAAGCCUGAGACCGAGCAAUCGUAGAUGUUCUGGAAUCGUGGAACCUCCUGGACACGUGGGGAAAACAUGAAUUUUUUCCGAACGCUUUCCAUCUGCUUUUCACAUCCACAGAAGCUCUCAGCCCCCUGAUAAGGUGAGACCUAAGAGUAUACUUACUGAACAGGUAAGAAAACGGACACCUACUUAUGUUUUGAGAUUUAACCAAGGUCACAGAGCUGGGAAGUGAUGAAGCAGGAAUUGGAACGUGACUCACUCUACCUCCUUAGCUUUAUCUCUUUCCUUCAAGGCUGAAAUCAUAAUAGCUUCGAUUUUUCUUGAGCAGUUACUAUAUGCCAGGCAGUCGUGUGAGCCCUUUACAGGUACUAGCCAGUAUUCACCUGCCCUCCGAUGGCUGAGACUCUGCUACUUUCUUCCCAUUUUUACACCUGAAGAAAGGGCUUGAGUAACUUACACAAAGUCACAGUUAGAAAUUUGCAAAGCCGGGAUUCAAACUCAAACAUUCUGGCUCACAGUCCAUGGUCUUAGACCUCAGCGCUCCACUUGAGAGGGUUAGCGGUGGUGUACACGGCGCGGUGCCUGGCACACAGUAAGUGCUUAAUAAAUCGUUAAACCUUUGGAAAGUGCACAGAGAUAAGCAGGCCUUUCCUGGUCUGAGCCACACUGAGGUCACACUGGAGAAUGCACCAUUCCCUUAUUGCCAUCCCUGUUGGUCCUGGUCGCCAGAGGAGAAACUGCCCGUGGGCCAUUUCCCCAUCUCCCCCUCCCUCUGGGAAAAUUCUGCGCGGCACCCACGGGGUCACAGGGCUGCCGGCCAGAAGGCUGGCUAAAACUGAGUUUGGCCAGGUUAUCAAGUUUCAUGGUCAGCCACCUUCGCCCCUGACCAGAGCUGUCUUUCCAAAACAGAACAUUCAGUCACGGCCCGUCCCUGUGCUCAGCUGUCCUUGUGCCCCUGGCCUUGCUUCCAGCCCACCCGCCUGGGUUUUUUUUUUUUUUUUUUUUUUUUUUUU